rnacentral:sRNA from 1 species
AUCUUUAACUCUUAUAAUUAGUGAAAUGCAUUGGAUUGUGACACAUUUUGACCAUCAAAACACUAACACAACUGUUUACUGCUUCUAAGCAAUUUUUUGUUGGUUUUAUCCUCUUUUAGGAGAAAAUGGGUAUAAGUGUUGUCUAAACCCUCCUAAUCCAUCUCUAACUCUUAUAAUUAGUCCAAUGAAUUGGAUUGUGACACAUUUUGACUAUAGAAACACAAACAAAGCAAGUUACUGAUUCUAAGCAAUUUUUUGUUGGUUUUAUCCUCUUUUGAGAGAAACUUGAUAUAAGUGUUGUCUAAACGCUCCUAUUCUAUCUUUAACUCUUAUAAUUAGUCAAAUGCAUUGGAUUGUAACACAUUUUGACCAUAAAAACACUAACAAAACUGUUUAUUGCUUCUAAGCAAUAUUUUGUUCGUUUUAGCCACUUUUAGGAGAAAAUUGGUAUAAGUGUUGUCUAAACACCCCUAAUCCAUCUCUAACUCAUAUAAUUAGUCAAAUGCAUUGGAUUGUGAUACAUAUUGACCAUUGAAACACUAACAAAGCUAUUUAGUGUUUGUAAGCAAUAUUUUGUUGGUUGUAGCUUCUUUUGGGAGAAAAUGGGUAUAAGUGUUGUCUAAACACUCCUACUCCAUCUCUAACUCUUAUAAUUAGUCAAAUGCAUUGGAUUGUGACACAUUUUGACCAUAGAAACACUAACAAAUCUAUUAACUGCUUCUAAACAAAUUUUUUAUUGGUUUUAGCCUCUUUUAAUAGAAAAUUGAUAUAAGUGUUGUCUAACCACACCUAAUCUAUCUCUAACUCUUAUAACUAGUCAAAAUGCAUUGGAUUGUGACACAUUUUGACCACAAACACACUAACACAACUGUUUACUGUUUCUAAGCAAUAUUUUGUUGGUUUUAGCCUCUUUUUGGAGAAAAUGGGUAUAAGUGUUGUCUAAACACUCCUAAUCCAUCUCUAACUCUUACAAUUAGUCAGAGGCUUUGGAUUGUGACACAUUUUGACUGUAGAAACACUAACAAAACUGUUUACUACUUCUAAGCAAUGUUUUGGUUGUUUUAGCCUCUUUUGAGAGAAAAUGGGUAUAAGUGUUGUCUAAACACUCCUAAUCCAUCUUUAACUCUUUAGUUAGUCAAAUGCAUUGGAUUGUGACACAUUUUGACCAUAAAAACACUAACAAAACUGCUUAUUUCUUCUUAGCAA